rnacentral:rRNA from 1 species
UCUGGCGGCAGUAGUGCGGUGGUCCCACCUGACCCCAUGCCGAACUCAGAAGUGAAACGCCGUAGCGCCGAUGGUAGU